rnacentral:rRNA from 1 species
AACGUAGGACACAAGCGUUAUCCGGAGUUACUGGGCGUAAAGGGCGUGUAGGCGGACCUAUAAGUCUAUUCUGAAAGCUCCUGGCUAAACUGGGAGAGGCGAAUGGAGACUGUAGAUCUAGAGUGAGGAAGAGGAAAGUGGAAUUCCGCGUGUAGUGGUGAAAUGCGUAGAGAUGCGGAGGAACACCAGUGGCGAAAAGCGACUUUCUGGUCCUUAACUGACGCUGAGGCGCGAAAAGCAUGGGGGAGCGAACGGGG